UGGGGAAUAUUGCACAAUGGGCGGAAGCCUGAUGCAGCGACGCCGCGUGGGGGAUGAAGGCCUUCGGGUUGUAAACUCCUUUCGACAGGGACGAAGCUUUUGUGACGGUACCUGUAUAAGAAGCACCGGCUAACUACGUGCCAGCAGCCGCGGUAAUACGUAGGGUGCGAGCGUUGUCCGGAAUUACUGGGCGUAAAGAGCUCGUAGGUGGUUUGUCGCGUCGUCUGUGAAAUUCCGGGGCUUAACUCCGGGCGUGCAGGCGAUACGGGCUGACUUGAGUGCUGUAGGGGAGACUGGAAUUCCUGGUGUAGCAGUGAAAUGCGCAGAUAUCAGGAGGAACACCGAUGGCGAAGGCAGGUCUCUGGGCAGUAACUGACGCUGAGGAGCGAAAGCAGGGGUAGCGAACAGG
rnacentral:rRNA from 1 species